UACGUAGGGUGCAAGCGUUAAUCGGAAUUACUGGGCGUAAAGCGUGCGCAGGCGGUUUUGUAAGUCUGUCGUGAAAGCCCCGGGCUCAACCUGGGAAUUGCGAUGGAGACUGCAAGGCUUGAAUCUGGCAGAGGGGGGUAGAAUUCCACGUGUAGCAGUGAAAUGCGUAGAGAUGUGGAGGAGCACCGAUGGCGAAGGCAGCCCCCUGGGUCAAGAUUGACGCUCAUGCACGAAAGCGUGGGGAGCAAACAGG
rnacentral:rRNA from 1 species